AUGAACGCUGGCGGCGUGCUUAACCCAUGCAAGUCGAACGGGAAACCUUUUAUUGAAGCUUCGGCAGAUUUAGCUGGUUUCUAGUGGCGGACGGGUGAGUAACGCGUGGGUAACCUGCCUUAUACAGGGGGAUAACAACCAGAAAUGGUUGCUAAUACCGCAUAAGCGCACAGGACCGCAUGGUCCGGUGUGAAAAACUCCGGUGGUAUAAGAUGGACCCGCGUUGGAUUAGCUAGUUGGCAGGGUAACGGCCUACCAAGGCGACGAUCCAUAGCCGGCCUGAGAGGGUGAACGGCCACAUUGGGACUGAGACACGGCCCAGACUCCUACGGGAGGCAGCAGUGGGGAAUAUUGCACAAUGGGGGAAACCCUGAUGCAGCGACGCCGCGUGAAGGAAGAAGUAUCUCGGUAUGUAAACUUCUAUCAGCAGGGAAGAUAGUGACGGUACCUGACGAAGAAGCCCCGGCUAACUACGUG
rnacentral:rRNA from 1 species